rnacentral:misc_RNA from 1 species
AAACUAAUCCCCGGUACCCCCAUAGAAGCAGCUGGAUUGCCCUGUAUGUGGCCGUGUCUGGAAGCAUUUCUGCACAUUGAAUUUGCCUUACACCACCCCUGAGGGGAGACGUAGAACAAGUUGUCCACCAACGAGACUCUUCACAUAGUAGUAGCAAAAAUCAGCGAGAAUGAACGUCUGGACAAUUUCUGAAAGAAGGACCAUAGGAGGCCACAACCCAUAGCCCAGUGCAGUCAGAAGACGUCCAUGAGUAUCCAAUACCUGAAGCACCCAAUGCGCACAACUCAAGAACCUUGCAACUCCAAGUGCAAAUAUAUAAUGUGCUGUGAAAGGUUCAACAAUCUUUGUGUUCUGCAUGACCCGAAGCUGAGGCAAUACUGAAACAGCUUCAAGAAAAACACAGAAAGCCCAGCAAAUCCUGUUUAUUA